rnacentral:rRNA from 1 species
UGCCAGCAGCCGCGGUAACACGGGGGGCGCAAGCGUUAUUCGGAAUUAUUGGGCGUAAAGGGCGCGCAGGCGGUCUUGUCAGUCAGAUGUGAAAGCCCGGGGCUCAACCCUGGAAGUGCAUUUGAAACAGCAAGACUUGAAUACUGGAGAGGAAAGCGGAAUUCCUGGUGUAGAGGUGAAAUUCGUAGAUAUCAGGAGGAACACCGAUGGCGAAGGCAGCUUUCUGGACCGAUACUGACGCUGAGACGCGAAAGCGUGGGGAGCAAACAGGAUUAGAUA